rnacentral:misc_RNA from 1 species
GGAUGUUUCUCAUGCCGUUAUGAUAUAUUUAUUAUAUUGAACUACUGUUGCAAGGCCCAUUUAGUGGAGCAUCUUCUUUCAAAGAAUCUACUUUAGGAUGUGUAAUGUGUGUAUAUAUUGAACUACUUCUAUCUUGCGUUUUUUAACGCUUGAUGAAAUAUUGCUUUCAUAAUUUUGUUGUUUGAAGUGGAGAUAGUUGAUUUUUUUAAUGGCUGCUUUAUUGAACUGUUAGAGUUUGAGAUUAUAGCCUUACACAAUGGUUAGAUUCAGAAUUUCUUUCUGUUUUUAAAAUUUCAGUUCAAUUUUUGUCAAUGUUCAUCAUGUCAUUAGACCAUGUCUAAAUUUGCUCAAGAAUAAAUACCUUUUUGAUUCUCAUGUGACAAUUUUUUACUUAAAUUGUCAUGAAAGACAUGUAAUGCAUAUUUUGUAUAUGAUGAUGUGGAUCAUACAAAGC